rnacentral:rRNA from 1 species
CAGUAGCGUAUAUUUAAGUUGCUGCAGUUAAAAAGCUCGUAGUUGGAUUUCGGGUGGGAAUGGCCGGUCCGCCGUUUCGGUGUGCACUUGCUACGCCCACCUUGCUGCCGGGGACGUGCUCUUGAGUUCACGCUCGGGACACGGAGUCGGCGAGGUUACUUUGAGUAAAUUAGAGUGUUCGAAGCAGGCCUACGCUCUGAAUACAUUAGCAUGGAAUAACACGAUAGGACUCUGGCCUAUCUUGUUGGUCUGUAGGACCGGAGUAAUGAUUAAGAGGGACAGUCGGGGGCAUUCGUAUUUCAUUGUCAAAGGUGAAAUUCUUGGAUUUAUGAAAGACGAACUACUGCGAAAGCAUUUGCCAAGGAUGUUUUCAUUAA